UACGGGGGGGGCAAGCGUUGUUCGGAAUUACUGGGCGUAAAGGGCUCGUAGGCGGCCAACUAAGUCAGGCGUGAAAUCCCCAGGCUCAACCUGGGAACUGCGUCUGAUACUGGAUGGCUUGAAUCCGGGAGAGGGAUGCAGAAUUCCAGGUGUAGCGGUGAAAUGCGUAGAUAUCUGGAGGAAUACCGGUGGCGAAGGCGGCAUCCUGGACCAAUACUGACGCUCAUGCACGAAAGCGUGGGGAGCAAACAGG
rnacentral:rRNA from 1 species